rnacentral:lncRNA from 1 species
CACCAUCAAUCUUUAAAAAAGAAUGUUAUUUUGAAACAGAGUUGUGAACAUCUUUCGGGUAAAUUGGGUGUCUUUAGGCAGUACGCAAUCUGUCUAGAUCUUUAGUUUAAAGUGCAUGUUUUUUUUUUAAAUACAUUUUGUUUGAUUUUUUAUACUUGGCCAAUUAAGGAAAAGAGCUUAAAAGAAUGGUGUAAGGAAAAUAACUUAAAAACCUCGUAAUAUGGCAAAAUUAUUACCAAUAAUGCAGAG